CACAUGAUUCUCUUUGAGGUUAACUCGUCCAAGGCUGAACAUGAGCUUUUUAUACGGCUGAACGGCGAAGGCCCAUGAAAAGCUUAUGGUUCCUUUGGUAGUCUGUACUACAAGGGUAACGGUGGUAAUUUGUGGGUAAGACACAAGUACAUACCUUCUUCGUUGUGAAAGGGUACUGCGUACUACGUGCAGAAGUAAAGCACAUUCGGUUACAACUCGGAUGAUUCAUGGUAAACGAACGGAUUGCAUUGUGACCUUCGGGUCGGCGAUGGAUCGUUCAAGAUUUCCACGGCACUAUAUAGAGCUACCGUGGUAAUCACAGCCGGUGUUUAGGGUUCGUAUCCGGAAAAGAGCUCCGAGAAACGGCGUCUACAUCUAAGUCAACCAGCAGGGGGCAUGUUAUCCACUUAUGAGUCAGUGAGGUCGUAGCAAGAACUAACAACAUCGCAAUUUCAGUUUGUAAUGCCUGAUAAGAUGAGAAGCCAAACUCGUUUCGGUGUAGUUCGGUGCAAGUCUUGUGCUGGAAGCCACAGCAAUUUUAGCUCCACUAGCGUAU
rnacentral:ncRNA from 1 species